GUCAUGGGUCUAGUGGUUAGGGGGUUGAGGAAAUGAGGGGAGGUCGUGGGUUCGAGCCUUGACCCAGGCAUUUUUAUUCCAACAUCUUAGAGAUGAAGUGUAUUAUGUGUAACUUGGUGCCAAGCCUGGCGGCACAAACGGGCCAAGCCCACCAGUUUAAGCAAGCGCCAAUUGUGCUUGACAAAACUAAGCGAAGACUUGACCUUGGGGCAGGUAAUUGGAUUAUAUAUAUGUGUCAAUAUUUGGAAGAUAAGGGGACUCUUCUUCCUUGAUACUCCAAUGUGGCAGGCAAUCAUCUCCUAAAUCUCCAGGCUAUGCAAACCAAGGAUGCGUUGACUCUCCGAUCAAAGUCGAUUUCCAGGUUGAUGGGAGGUGGAAGGAUCCAACUCGCAUUGCUCUAGCAGGAUAUAGAGAAUACUACUGUAUACCCUGGAGAACACAAGCGACACGACAAGGGAGUUUACACUCAGGUUUUUACAAGAUAUUACAAACAAUUUUUCCAAGGAGCACAUAAUUGGUUCUGGUGGGUAUGGAGUAGUUUACAUGGGAUUACUGGAAAAUGGGGAAGAGAUUGCAAUCAAGAAGCUUCACUUCAUGCCGGGGCUUGACGACACACAAUUUAAGAAUGAGUUUAAUAACCUUAUGAGGGUCCAACUCAAAAAUAUUAUCCGGUUAGUUGGAUACUGUUCCGGUCGCCGCUGUGUGGUCCCGCUGGUCGUCAUCGCCUGUCUUUUCCUCUUUCCGGCGUCGAGCUCGAUGAUGACGCGAGGUGGCAGCAGAUCCGUCAGGUGCCCGUGGCAGGUGAGGUGGCUGCGGAUCGAUGGCGUCAGUUCGUUGGCUCUUCAUCGCCGAUCAUCGAGUAAGAGUUUGGGGAAGGGGCGACGGCUGGUGAGGGAGCUCGACGACGUCGAGCCUGACGAAGACGCGAGGUGGAAUUGGACCGGCGAGCUGCCGCCACCGGGCCAAGGGUCCCGAGGCACGUGUACCGUAGGGUACGGUAGGGGAGGGGAGGUUAGAUGCGAGGACCAAAAAGAAAAGAGAAAAAAACGUUUUUGAGGAUUUUUCUGAGCGUGCGGGGUUGGAGGCUUCGAGCCGUUACUUGCGCCUUGCGGGCGCUUGCACGGGGUGGGACGUAUGGCGACGGGAACGUUACAACCACCACCAACUACAAUUUAAUAUUAUUGGUAUGGAUAACCUGCUCUUUUGCAAAACCCCUAACCUGGCAAUCAGAACGUCCAACAGAGAUCCUGACCACCGGGUCCCACGUGUCAUUCUCUCAAGUCCGAAACUGGUGCGGUUCUUGCGGCCCGGUCCGACUGAAGCCCAGUUCGGUCCCGGCUGAGCCAUAUUA